AGUGAACGCUGGCGGUAGGCCUAACACAUGCAAGUCGAACGGCAGCACAGUAAGAGCUUGCUCUUACGGGUGGCGAGUGGCGGACGGGUGAGGAAUACAUCGGAAUCUACUUUUUCGUGGGGGAUAACGUAGGGAAACUUACGCUAAUACCGCAUACGACCUACGGGUGAAAGCAGGGGAUCUUCGGACCUUGCGCGAUUGAAUGAGCCGAUGUCGGAUUAGCUAGUUGGCGGGGUAAAGGCCCACCAAGGCGACGAUCCGUAGCUGGUCUGAGAGGAUGAUCAGCCACACUGGAACUGAGACACGGUCCAGACUCCUACGGGAGGCAGCAGUGGGGAAUAGUGGACAAUGGGCGCAAGCCUGAUCCAGCCAUACCGCGUGGGUGAAGAAGGCCUUCGGGUUGUAAAGCCGUUUUGUUGGGAAAGAAAAGCAGCAGGUUAAUACCCCGCUGUUCUGACGGUACCCAAAGAAUAAGCACCGGCUAACUUCGUG
rnacentral:rRNA from 1 species